CGGGCUGUCCGGCAAUUUUACUUUGAAAAAAUUAGAGUGCUCAAAGCAGGCGCGACGCCUGAAUAAUGGUGCAUGGAAUAAUGGAAUAGGACCUCGGUUCUAUUUUGUUGGUUCGUAGAACACGAGGUAAUGAUUAAGAGGGACAGACGGGGGCAUUCGUAUUGCGACGUUAGAGGUGAAAUUCUUGGAUUGUCGCAAGACGAACUACUGCGAAAGCAUUUGCCAAGAAUGUUUUCAUUAAUCAAGAACGAAAGUUAGAGGUUCGAAGGCGAUCAGAUACCGCCCUAGUUCUAACCAUAAACGAUGUCGACUAGCGAUCUGUCGCAGCUAAUACAACGGCUGGACAGGCAGCUUCCGGGAAACCAAAGUGUUUGGGUUCCGGGGGAAGUAUGGUUGCAAAGCUGAAACUUAAAGGAAUUGACGGAAGGGCACCACCAGGAGUGGAGCCUGCGGCUUAAUUUGACCCAACACGGGGAAACUUACCCGGCCCGGACACCGGAAGGAUUGACAGAUUGAGAGCUCUUUCUUGAUUCGGUGGGUGGUGGUGCAUGGCCGUUCUUAGUUGGUGGAGUGAUUUGUCUGGUUAAUUCCGAUAACGAACGAGACUCUAGCCUACUAACUAGACGACCGAUUCGAAAGCGUCGGUCGCUCUUCUUAGAGGGACAGGCGGCGUUCAGCCGCACGAAACAGAGCAAUAACAGGUCUGUGAUGCCCUUAGAUGUCCGGGGCCGCACGCGCGCUACAAUGAAGGGAUCAGCGUGUUUUAUCCUUGUCCGAAAGGACCGGGUAAUCAGGUGAAAUCCCUUCGUGUUAGGGAUAGGGGCUUGUAAUUUUUCCCCUUGAACGAGGAAUUCCCAGUAAGCGCGAGUCAUCAGCUCGCGUUGAUUACGUCCCUGCCCUUUGUACACACCGCCCGUCGCUACUACCGAUUGAAUGAUUUAGUGAGGUCUUCGGACUGGCGCGCGGAGCGGCUUUCGGGUCGCCCCGCCGCGCCGGAAAGAUGACCGAACUUGAUCAUUUAGAGGAAGUAAAAGUCGUAACAAGGUUGCCGUAGGUGAACCUGCGGCAGGAUCAUUA
rnacentral:rRNA from 1 species